UUUGCAAAAUUUCGAGCCCAGCCAAAUAGUACGUUACUUCCUCUUCUCGCCUUCGAUUUUCUUAGAGUUGCAGCUGUAAGUUAUCUAGAACUUAAACACACCGUCUAGCUCACCAUAACGUUUUCAGCUUGCAUUAAUAUGUGCAGCUUUUAUGUGGCUAACUUAAUCCUCCACUCCCAAGCGUUCAAUCAACCUAAUCGCAAUCUAGGCGUAGUCUGUUCAGCUUACCUAUUACGACAACGGUGAAUUUCGUCAUUAUGAAUCGACAAUCUAUAUAUAAAUUUGUCAGAUUCUUGACGUGAAAUUCAUCAGUUCCUCUCCCUCAAUCAUUAUAAUCAAUUUCUCUCUCGAUGGUUUAGUUUCCCUUCUUCUCAUCGCUGCUAUAUUGCAUGGAUCAAUUUUGUUUGUAAUGCAUCUCUAAUCUUUUUUGAUGUAUUUUUCCCGGAGUUUCUUCCCUGCCUUGACUAAGAUCGUCGGGACUCUCGAUCCUAAAUCCUGAUCCGUCGAAACUCUCUCUGGAAGUGAAGAAAGGAGAUACUAUCUUUGUUGGACAAUACCUAUUCACUGGUACUGAAACAACUUCAGUUUGGCUUUAGAAAGUAUACGUAAAUUAUUGGGUCCUCUUUUUCAAUGGUGGAAGCAAAUCCAUGAUCGCAUCGAACACUGUCAUGACCACUCUGUCAUGGAGAUUGACGAUGAAGAAAUCUCUUGGAUCACCAAUCGUCCUGCUGUUCAUCUGGAGAUGGGGAAGAUAAAGCUGAGGCUCUGGAGGGUGAGAUGGUUGGGAAGGAGCCUGAGGUAGAGAAGAAAAGAGAACCGGAGCCGGAGUUUGAAAAACAGAAGGAGAAGAAGCAUACAACUUUGAAGGAGAAAGAGAUGGAGAAUACUGCGUACAAGGAUUUCGAAACUGCUAUCAAUAAGAGAGAUACAGAAACAGGAAGAGGUGAAGCGUUUAAAGAGGGAGGCUGCUAAGGUAGAGAGGAAGCACAUAGAAAAAAUAAGAAGAGGAGGCCCGGGAGUGCGCAAAGCGUCAAGCUGCAAGGAGAGAAGCUACUAGACUGAGAAUGAGCCAAGAGAAGGUACUUCCUCUUGACGGAUCUGAGAAAGGACCUGAUGCUACACAUGCUACAACAGUCAGCAGAAGUUAUUUGAUUCUUUGUCGAUGCUAGAUCAAUUCUCUGGAUAAGUUCUUUGAAACAGCAUAAACAUAUACACAUUACAUUUAUACAUGGAUGAAUUAGAAAACCUGUUUUAUGUAAUGCGUCUCAGAACAUUUGUGAAAAUAUAAUGAUGAGGUUUGAAACA